rnacentral:rRNA from 1 species
AAUUAGUAAAUACAAGUAUUGAAAAAGAAUUUACUAAUAAUAUUAUAUAAUAGUUAAACUCUAGUAACUUUUGUAUCAGUGAAAAUCUAAAUAUUAUUGUUAAUAAAAUCUCGAAAAAUAAGGAGUAAACUAUAAUAUUUUUAAAUGUAUUAAAAUUUUUUUUUAUUUAUAGUUAGAUAUUAUAUAUUUUCAGCUUAUUAGAUAUCUAGUUACUUUUAAAAUAAUUUUAUAUUAGCUUGAAAUAAUAUUUUAGUUAGUUUUAAAAAGAUAAGUUUUUAAAAUUUUAUAAUAUAUUUAAUAUUUCAAUUAUUAAUUUGAAUUAAUAGUGUUUAUUUGUUUAAUAACAAAAAAAUAAUUAAAAAUAUUUAAAUUUUAUAUAACAAUUAAAAAGUUAUUGUUUUAAUUAAAUAAAUUAAUAAAUUAUGAUUUUAUUAGUAUAAAAUUUAAAUUUUAUUUUAUCUUAUAUGUUGUAUUUGUUAAUAUAAAUUUUAAUUUAAUUAAAGAACUAGGCAAUUAUAAUAAUUCAAAUGUUUAUCAAAAACAUUUUCUUUAUAUAUUUAAGAUAAUCUCUGCUCACUGUUUGUUAUAAAGAGCUGCAGUAUUUUAACUGUGCUAAGGUAGCAUAAUAAUUUGUUUUUUAAUUGAAAACUAGUAUGAAAGAGUUAAUGAAAUUAUAACUUUUUUAAUUAAAUGCAUAGUAAAAUUUUAUCUUUAAGUGAAAAAGCUUAAAUAUUUUUUAAAGACGAGAAGACCCCUAGAAUUAUUGACUUUUAUUCAAUGUAUAACUAUUAUAAUUUAUGUUGAAAAAUUAGACUUAGCUGGGGCGGCUAGUAAGUAAAAUAACCUUACUUUUUUAAACUAAUAAUAGGAUGUUUGAAGUUUAAAUAAAUUAAUUGAAAAUUACCUUGGGGAUAACAGCGUAAUUUUAAUUUAAAGUUCUUAUAGUAAUUGAAGUUUGCGACCUCGAUGUUGGAUUAAGAAAAUAUAAAAGAAGCCUUUUAAUUUUUAUAGGUCUGUUCGACCUUUUAUUUCUUACAUGAUCUGAGUUAAAACCGGCGUGAGCCAGGUUGGUUUCUAUCUUAAAAUUUUAAAUCAUAAUGAUAGUACGAAAGGAAUUCAUUGUGGCAUUAGUAAUGUUUAUAAAAGAUAAAUAUUAAUAUUAAAUAAUA